rnacentral:rRNA from 1 species
AGAGUUUGAUCAUGGCUCAGAUUGAACGCUGGCGGCAGGCCUAACACAUGCAAGUCGAGCGGUAACAGAGAAUAGCUUGCUAUUCUGCUGACGAGCGGCGGACGGGUGAGUAACGCGUAGGAAUCUGCCCGGUAGCGGGGGAUAGCCCAGAGAAAUUUGGAUUAAUACCGCAUACGCCCUACGGGGGAAAGGAGGGGACUCUUCGGAGCCUUCCACUAUCGGAUGAGCCUGCGUGAGAUUAGCUAGUUGGCGGGGUAAAGGCCCACCAAGGCGACGAUCUCUAGCUGGUCUGAGAGGAUGAUCAGCCACACCGGAACUGAGACACGGUCCGGACUCCUACGGGAGGCAGCAGUGGGGAAUAUUGCACAAUGGGCGAAAGCCUGAUGCAGCCAUGCCGCGUGUGUGAAGAAGGCCUUAGGGUUGUAAAGCACUUUCAGCGAGGAGGAAAGCUUGUGAGUUAAUACCUCUCAAGUGUGACGUUACUCGCAGAAGAAGCACCGGCUAACUCCGUGCCAGCAGCCGCGGUAAUACGGAGGGUGCAAGCGUUAAUCGGAAUUACUGGGCGUAAAGCGCGCGUAGGCGGCUUGUUAAGCCAGAUGUGAAAGCCCCGGGCUUAACCUGGGAACUGCAUUUGGAACUGGCAGGCUAGAGUACAGAAGAGGGUGGUAGAAUUUCCUGUG